rnacentral:rRNA from 1 species
GACGAACGCUGGCGGCGUGCUUAACACAUGCCAGUCGAACGGAAAGGCCCUGCUUUUGUGGGGUGCUCGAGUGGCGAACGGGUGAGUAACACGUGAGUAACCUGCCCUUGACUUUGGGAUAACUUCAGGAAACUGGGGCUAAUACCGGAUAGGAGCUCCUGCUGCAUGGUGGGGGUUGGAAAGUUUCGGCGGUUGGGGAUGGACUCGCGGCUUAUCAGCUUGUUGGUGGGGUAGUGGCUUACCAAGGCUUUGACGGGUAGCCGGCCUGAGAGGGUGACCGGCCACAUUGGGACUGAGAUACGGCCCAGACUCCUACGGGAGGCAGCAGUGGGGAAUAUUGCACAAUGGGCGGAAGCCUGAUGCAGCAACGCCGCGUGCGGGAUGACGGCCUUCGGGUUGUAAACCGCUUUCGCCUGUGACGAAGCGUGAGCGACGGUAAUGGGUAAAGAAGCACCGGCUAACUACGU